UUGCUGUAGCAGCACAUAUACUAAAAUUGGAACGAUAUAGAGAAGAUAAGCAUGGCUAAUCUGCUAGGAGGACAUGCAAAUUUGUGAAGCAGACUUGACAUAUCUUU
ensembl:snRNA U6 U6 spliceosomal RNA